rnacentral:sRNA from 1 species
ACACACACACACACACACACACACACACACACACACAGGGAUUUAAAGCAACUGCCACAGCCUGGUUCCUGACCUUCCUGAGUUACCAGCACGCCAGCCAGGUACACCUGGACGGUGAAGUUUGCUACACAAUGACUUGCUGUGUUCUCUUUCACUCGUUUUUGUUUCACAUUUUGUUCCAACAAGGAUAUAAGGCAGCAAUAAUAGCUUUCCUGGCCGCUUUUUCAGGCUUGUUUUGAGCACUUUGAAAUUGACACGAAUCCUGGAAAAAUGUUUCUGCAGAUCCCAGCAUGCCCCGAGCACACACUGCCAAUCUACUGUGCACAGCUCACCUUCGCCCCCACCACGCCCACUUAUAUAACACGCCGCAGGGUGGACCUUCUGGCCUUGGGGACUACAGGGACCAGACAAACUCAAGGCAGAUCUGUGGAUCCUUUCAUUUCUCCGAAAAGUUUUGGCUCUGGGGCAGUGGUUCUUGACCUUCUUAAUGCUACCACCCUUUAACACAAACCAUUUGAUGCUACUCAUAUUUCUGAAACCAAGAACUCUGGAAGAAUUUCUGCCCUCGGGCCCUCUCAUUUUUGUGUCCAGAUUGGCCUCCUUCCCAACUCACCAGAAACAUCAGAGAAUGAAGCUGUCUGUGGAAGGCUACGGACAAACUGGACACAAAUUCACUGGACAUCUGAUAGAUGGAAAGAAAGGUCAAGAUGGUCCAAGCUUGGUCAGCCUCUCAAGCUUGACAACAAAAGAAAAAAUACCCUGGAAUUUCUUCUUGUAUAAUGUAGGCUUGAAUUAAAGUCAUUUUUCAGUC